CUGGAUCCUGGGUAAGUGCGCAGUAGUUUAAUAUCAAAUUCAAAGGUAAAAUAAAUAAAACAAUCUCUACAAACUUUAUAACGGUCAGGUCAAAAUAACGUGUCAACAACAGAUCUAAUGAAAGAGACGAGCUAACGCUGCCCUCUGCUGGACACUGUGAGCAUCGAGCGUUCACCUCCGACAACGUCGCUGCCAAACUAUACAUUAUACGUCAUAUCUUAAUACACAAAUCACCUUUUUGAUUUCUAAAUGACUCAUUUCUCGCCUCAAAUGAUGUUCAACAUGCGUUCCGAGACAUAGAAAAUGUUUUAUUUCAGGUUUAUAUUUGUUCUCUCUGCAGAUAUGUUCCGGUGCAUACUGGGUAAACCCGGCGGAGCGAGAACACUUCCGGGUAUGAGAACCGUACUCGCUGCUCCGCGGACUUGUGAAUUGGAACCGAACUUGGACUGAGGCUGAGUACUUCACAAGUACGGGACUACUUCACAAGUACGGGACUACUUCACAAGUACGGGACUACUUCACAAGUACGGGACUACUUCACAAGUACGGAGGAAGUGCAGCUCUGUUCACAUCAGUGUCGUGUGCUCUGCUGCCGCGGUGUGGAUGCUUAUGUAACUGCAGUCAAAUAUUAUUACACGCCGUGUAUCCCAGAAUGCAUUUCACCGGAACAUUGCAGCAGAGAAAACAAAUAUAAAUCUGAAAUAGACAUUUUUCUGUGUCCCGGAGCAAAGUUUUGACAUAAUUCGAGGAUCCAGACCCUGAAAUGAGACGACUACUGACUGUUGUAGAUGGACAGAUGGACAAAGCAGUUCUCUGUCCCCAGGAGGUUAGAGACAGAGCAGCGAUACAGGCCGGACGUCCGAGAGGACACAUUGAUCAUGUGGACAGAGCCGGACACGUCACCUGAGACAGAAAGACAGAGAGAGGACAGAGGUCAAGCUUGUUUGUUUGAGACACAAACAUCACAAUCCCUGAGCUCAGUGAACGCGGUGCGUGUGCGUGCGUGUGCGUCACUGACCCUCCAUGAUAAUGGGAAGUGAGAUUUCCUGUGGAUUCAGUUUGUCCCAGUGGAUCUGUGGAGUGGGGACUCCUUCUGUCACAGAGCAGGACAGUGUGACGCUUCCUCCUGCAUCAACGUCUCCAUCCCACUGACACACGGGCAGCGAGGGCGGAGCUGCACAAAUCAACAACAAGGUCAUGAUGGGUGAAACGAGACAGAUUCAAAAACAGGUCAAACUUAAAAACCCGACUCAUUUCCUGCUUAAAUAAAUAAAUAAAUGACUUUGGCUUUUCCCUGUGUGUGUGUGUGCGUGCGUGCGUGCGUGUAUGUGUGAGAUGGUUGAAGGUGGAUCCUGGGAGCUGAUUGUUCCAGCACAGGAGGUUCUGGUAUAGUGAACCUCACAGUCAGACGUUUUUGUGCUUGUUUUUAAAGAAACUUUUUUAAAUAGUUUGUUUUACUUGUUGCUGGUUUCUUGGGAAUUGGGAUGAGGGAGUCUCCUCAUUCAUGUUGACAACAUCAGAUAUAUUUACUAUAGAGUUACUCAUCAGAAACCUAUGUACAAACAAAAGUAAUGCAUGUGCCAAUGACAGCUGCUGUUUCCUUCACCACGCAGCUCCAAUGAACAGUCCCAGCAGAUAUUCACGUAACUUUGGCAACCUUUACCAUUUCAUUUGAAGUUUGUCUGGAAUUACCACGACACAUAUCUGUGACGUUCUCACUCAUCUAAACUACAGUUUUAGAAAUGUAUUCUUGUAUUUAUAUCUCUGUGAGGUCUAAAAACCUACAAACCUAUCUUUGUGGGGACAUUUUGUCAGACCUGGUUUUAGAGUUAGUUCAUAUAGUUUUGAUGGUGAAGGUUGGGGUUAGGGGUGAGGGAUGUCUAUGAUGACCCUCACUAUUGUUUUCAGGAUGAGGAGAAACUCACCCAGAACACUGAGCAGCAGUUCUCCUACACCCGGGUCUGCGGUCUCUGGCGGGUUAUUGACCAUGCAGCGGUAAACACCAGCGUCUGACACGCGUGUGUUGUUCAGGACAAUAUCUGCACUCCAGGGAAUACCUGCAGCAUAAGGUCCCAGCGGCUGUGGACCUUGUCAUGCCGAGACUGGGACAAGACUGCAGUUCUGGAACUGAACCUGCAACCUCAUGGACUGGAGAACAAAGCCUCCACUCCACCAAUCCCUGAUGUGUUGGGUCUCUGCAUCUCCUUUCAAUCUUCACCUUGGACGUUGAACUUUAAAAGUCUUGUUCUUCAUAAGAAUUUCCCACAAACACAGAAGUCUUCCAGUUGUGAUGGCGAGUGUGAUGUUGAUCCUGUACAAAGUUUGGUUCCAGAAAACUGGGGACAGUCCUUUUUUAAUUUUGGACGUGGUUGUGAAACGGAACCUGUCGGACAAGAACAACGACCACAAGGACUCCGUAUAAAGUCCUGAGAUUUUUGUAAGACUUGUAGACUAGUUUAAGAUUCAAUAUAGACAGAAAAGAUCUAAGAAAACCUCAGCAUGUGUUGGAGCAGGUGGAUCUGUGGAUAAAACCACUUCUCUGAGGUUCCACGGUCAUAGGUUCAAUUCUUAUAAAGAACAGGACAUUUUAAAGCUCAUCAUCCAAAGUGAGGAUUGAAAGAAGACAAAAAGUCCUGCAUCUGUCAGGAGUUCAUGGCGUGGUGACGUUGUUCAGUCCACAAGGUCACGGGUUCAAUUCCAUGUUUGUGGUUUUUUUGCGGGAUGUGAAACGUAGUGGCAGCAGAGCCUGACGAGGACACCUCCAAGUGUGGCAGAUGAAUAAGUUCAUUGAAGACAUAAUUUUUCAUCAAUGAAUGAUGAGGACAAACUGUCCUUUGACGACAUUGACUCCUCCUUCACUCUGAUGGUCUGUCUCUGUGGGAGUAAUUACCAGCGCUGAAAAUAGUCCGGAGGUCAAGGAAGUCGCUUCUCUACUCACAACAUCAUGGGUUCAAAUCCCUCUCAAGGUACGUGACUUUGAAUGUGUGUGUGUUUGUGUCGGUCAACAAAACAACAACAAAACUAAAGGCUCUCAAACAAAAAACUUCAAAAAACUUCAAAAACCAAACUCAAACUCUCCACCGUGCGUUUGCGUCUUCAAUUUCAACAAGGAUUCCAAUUUCAACAUCGGGAGAAGCUAGCUAGCCUUGAAUAAAGGCUAGCUAGCUUUCUUUCACUAAUGUUAGAUGUAAAAAUAAGAAUAUCAUUUAUAAUUUGGGUUUUUGACAUGUGGUUUGUAUGAGAUUGUGAAACAAAUUCAGCACUGACUGUGCUGUGAGCGCCCCCUGUGCCUAGAACCCACAAAAAACACAAAGGCUGAAAAAAACUGAUUUUAGCCACUAAACAAAAGACUCAGCUUAUAAAAUCAGGUUAAGUCUGUGAUAUUGACGUCACAUGUUCAUGUCUGUAUCUCACUGUUAGACUUUUCCUCACAGGAACCCACUCACUCUCCCACACCAAAGUCCACAGAGAAAAUCAGUAAUUUUAACAUCACACACACAGGAGUUGUUGAUCCACUGCUGCCUCCAUCACUAAGUUCUAAUGUCUUAUUUUGUCUCUUCAGUGUUUGAAAUCCUUUGUUCAGAUUGACCUCAGUGACACAAUGAGACCACACGAGGGCAGCAGAGGACCAGCAGCUCCUGUGUCCCCGCCAGCUAAAAUCACUGAUUUUCUCUAUGGAGUUUGGUGUGGGAGAGUGAGUGGUUUACAAACUUCACCAAGAAAGCUCAGUGAGAAUAGCUCAUGCUGUAAGAAGAAGACUUGUGUGCCUGAGAUUGUGAUUUCAAAUCAUCAUGAUCAAUGUAAACAAGUCCUGAGGUCACAGGUUCAAUUCUUGUAAAGAGUAAGACAUUUUAAAGUUCAACAUCCAACGUGAAGAUUGAAAGGAGAAGAAAAGUCCCAAAUGUACUAGGACUUCAUGGUGUGGUGACUUUGUUCAGUCCACAAGGUGCCACGUUUGCUUCCGGUACCUUAUUAUUGAAAAUAGGAUUAUAAAAUUUACU